rnacentral:lncRNA from 1 species
GUGUUUUCCCUGUUGAACUGCCACCUUCUUCCUACUGGGCAGUGAGGGAGGGAUGUGCCUGCAACUCAGAGAAGAGCCCAUGCAUGAGAACAAAGAGCUUCUACAUCCUAUAUUCUAAGCUAUAUCUUAAGCUUCUACAGUCAAAAGCUAUCUCAGCUGAAGACCAAGAAGAUUUGAUGUACUUGCACAUCUUGCAGCAGAGAGAACAGAUGCAUCCUCAGAAGAUGAGAGCCAUUCCAAAGAGGCAUUUCCCUGUUUUUGCCAAGAGUGUACAAAACAAUUAAUGAACUGUGGCUCCAGUACCUUGGCUACCAGAUGGGAAGAGCUGAUUCAUUGGAAGAGACCCUGAUGCUAGGAAAGAUUGAGGGCAGGAGGAGAAUGGCGUGAUAGUGGAUGAGAUGUUUAGAUUACAUCACUGACUCAGUGAAUAUGAGUUUGAGCAAACUCCAGGAAAUAGUAGAGGACAGGGAAGCCUGGCAUGCCACAGUCAUGGAUCACAAAGAGUCAGAUACAACUUAGCAACUAAACAACAAUUAUUUGAUUUAUUCAAAAGGUUUUUUUUUUUUUUUUGGCCUCAGUAUUGUGUUAGAGAUUCAUUUUAGAGCCCUUGAUAUAUUUAUCACAUUAAAAAAAUAAUACAGUUCAAAAGUCCUUAAGAAACUUUUAUCCAGGCCUUAACUUUCUAUUCCCUGGGUGGCCAAAUAUUACCAACAUGAUUGUGGGGGAAUCCUACAGAAGCUAGCUAUGUGAUGACUUGAUUGUGACAAUGUGCUGACUUCUCUUGAAAGCCAAAUCUAUUCAGUGAAAUUCUAUCACAUACACAAAGGGGUAAGGACUAAAAACCAUACCUAUCCAGUAGAGGCAGGCAAUCUCUGAAAUCUAGACAGACUUUAAAUUUAUGCUUAGUGGGGCUUUCAUUGCUCAGUUAGUAAAGAAUCUGCCUGCAGUACAGGAGACCUAUGUUUAAUCCCAGGAUUGGGAAGAUCAUCUGCAGAGGGAAUAGCAACCUGCUCCAUUAUUC